CAGAGAUAAAUAUGUAUCCACUUUGCUCUCCCAGAUCCUGUUCCUUGAACUCCAUCAAACUAGUCAGAUAGUUUUACAUUGGAGUGUACAAAUUAUCCCAUGUUGACAGAUGUUUGUCACUUAGUAACUUCUUUCCAAGUUUUUCCCCCUCCCCUAAGCUUUCUUUCCAGCUUGCUUUGUUGUUUUAAAAUAUGCAUGUCUCUCACUGGAAUGCCAGUCACGAGUGCAAACUUUGUGUCCAACCUCCCACAUGAAAUGAUCCUUUUAAAGGGAACUCGAUAUGUCUCAAUCUGCACUUCACUCAAAGCCUCUGGGUACGGGCCACUCACUCACUGGUCCUGGCUCCAAAAUAACUCAGCAGAAACGAGUUUCCAACUAAAAAUCCCCUCGAAUGUCUCCCAGGGAAGAAAUAUAGCUCCUAUAAUUAAAGGAGGCAACGACCAGAGGGGAAAUGCAGCCGGCAGCCAAAAAAGAAAAAUUCAAUUUUGAGGAAUUUUCACCUAGAGGAAUCCAAGAUCUUCAGUCAAAACAGCAAUUUCUGGGGAGGUAGAUGAUGGGGGGAGGGGUAGCAGAGGGGUUAUAACUUGCUGAACAUUUCAGUAAGAACAGUAAUCAACAUGAGAUGCGGUGGUCCUGAGUAGUGUUCCAUGGCAAGCAGAGGUUUACAUUUUUUAGGUUCAAGAGCAGGUAAAUGUCUUCGUUUGGAAUUCAACUGUAGUUAAAAAAUUGGGAGACUUGGUUUCUUUUUCACUUGAAAGAAUAAGAACAUUUUAGGAAAUUUCUGAUGCCUGACCUAAAGUCCUCUCAUCUUUCUUCAGAUAGAGAAUAAAAUACUUCAAAACUAUGCAAUUCUUUAAGGGAAAAAUUUUUCUCUUAAAUGUUUCUUUUUUCCUGAUGUUUUUGUUGAUGACAGUAAACUGCCUGAUAAGAAACUGACAGAUCACUUCAAAUAAAAGGCACUGUAUUA